GAUGAAGAACGUAGCGAAAUGCGAUAAGUAAUGUGAAUGGCAGAAUUCAGUGAAUCAUCGAAUCUUUGAACGCACAUUGCGCCCGCCAGUAUUCUGGCGGGCAUGCCUGUUCGAGCGUCAUUUCAACCCUCAAGCCCCCGGGCUUGGUGUUGGGGAUCGGCGUGCCCUCGCGGCGCGCCGUCCCCUAAAUCUAGUGGCGGUCUCGCUGUAGCUUCCUCUGCGUAGUAGCAACACUCGCACUGGAUCGCAGCGCGGCCACGCCGUUAAACCCCCCACUUCUGAAAGUUUGACCUCGGAUCAGGUAGGAAUACCCGCUGAACUUAAGCAUAUCAAUAAGCGGAGGA
rnacentral:misc_RNA from 1 species